GAUGAACGCUGGCGGCGUGCCUAAUACAUGCAAGUCGAGCGAACGGACGAGAAGCUUGCUUCUCUGAUGUUAGCGGCGGACGGGUGAGUAACACGUGGAUAACCUACCUAUAAGACUGGGAUAACUUCGGGAAACCGGAGCUAAUACCGGAUGAUAUUUUGAACCGCAUGGUUCAAAAGUGAAAGACGGUCUUGCUGUCACUUAUAGAUGGAUCCGCGCUGCAUUAGCUAGUUGGUAAGGUAACGGCUUACCAAGGCAACGAUGCAUAGCCGACCUGAGAGGGUGGUCGGCCACACUGGAACUGAGACACGGUCCAGACUCCUACGGGAGGCAGCAGUAGGGAAUCUUCCGCAAUGGGCAAAAGCCUGACGGAGCAACGCCGCGUGAGUGAUGAGGGUCUUCGGAUCAUAAAACUCUGUUAUUAGGGAAGAACAAAUGUGUAAGUAACUGUGCACAUCUUGACGGUACCUAAUCAGAAAGCCACGGCUAACUACGUG
rnacentral:rRNA from 1 species